CUGCUGCCUCCCGUAGGAGUCUGGUCCGUGUCUCAGUACCAGUGUGGGGGACCUUCCUCUCAGAACCCCUACGCAUCGUCGCCUCGGUGGGCCGUUACCCCGCCGACUAGCUAAUGCGCCGCAUGCCCAUCCCCCGCCGGAAUCGCUUCCUUUGGCCGCAGACCCAUGCAGGUCCGCGGCGUUACGCGGUAUUAGUCGGGAUUUCUCCCGGUUAUCCCCCUGCGGGGGGCAGGUCGCAUACGCGUUACUCACCCGUGCGCCGGUCGCCGG
rnacentral:rRNA from 1 species